rnacentral:lncRNA from 1 species
AUGCCUUGUGGAAUUGCCCUGCAGGAACUGGAGAACAUAGCAUUGUGGCUUUGCAGUAAAAGAGAAUCUCCACAACAAAUGAAGAGGAAGUAUUGGAAGAGCUUGCUCUCCAAGGUAGAGCCAGGGAGAAGACACCAGCUAGAGAAGACUACCGGUCCCAAAAUCAGGGAGGAUGGCCAUGGAACAGUGAGAAUGAUGGGAAACUACCACACCCACAGCCACAUCAGGAAAACCCACCUGCAGAACCAGAAGAGCCACAGGUCACAUCCAAGUUGGCUGUGCCUCCAACUGUCUGUAUCAGAUGGAUAAUGGGGAUGACUCCUCCCUGUGCCUGGAUCAUAGAGGCUGGCACAGGCCAUGGGGAAGCUGCUGUAAGUCCAUCCAUCUCCCAAAGUCUCAGUGCCCUUUAAUAGUAUCAUGAGGUGUUUUUGCUCUUUGAAGUUCUAACCCUACUGCCGAAGGAAUGAUCCCAGCCCCUUUGAGCCUGUUAUUACUUUUAUUUUUUUAAGUUUUCUUUUCUCUUUCUCUCGUUCAUAACCAGCUUGCUUUGACGAAGACAAUUUACUUUAUAAAUACAGUCCCAAAACUUGUGUAGUAUUGUUGAAAUUAUGGUAGUAAUCUUUGUUCAUUAUUCACCUUUGUAAAAUUUGCUGCCGUAAUGAAAGAUAAAUUUUCAUGACAGGUUUUGGGAAAAUAUUUUUGAACAUACAAGUAAGUUGUUACUUUACGC